CAGACUCACACACUCCUCAAACCUCACUCACCCUCACCGUCACACGUCGAGUCGUCGACCCCAUCCACCGCCUCCUCUUUGACGUUGCUGUUGCCUCCUCUUCUUGAUUUUAUAUUUGUGCAGUUUGAUUUUAGCUUUUAAUUGGAAGGUCAAUAAUGUCAGCUUCAUAUCCUGAGGAUGUUCAAAGCAGUGAGACAGGAUUUACUAGUGCCACUCCGUCCACUUUUGAAUUAGUCAGAUCUUUGGGACAGUCGGAGUCGAUGUCGCUGUCACAGCCGUAGUCGCAGCCAUAAACGCAGACGCAGACGCAGACGCAGCCACCAUCGCUGCCGCUGUUACCGCCACACAGUGAUAAGAAUAAUGAAGGAACUAGAUCUAAGAGGAGAAGAGGCAAAGAAAAUGUUGUUGAUGAGUUAACUAAUCCUGGCUAGUCUGAGGAACCAGGUACAGGUAACUCUAAAAAACCUGUUAGACCUAGAUCUUGGACUUGGGAGCAUUUUAAAAAAUAUGAAAGUGGUCCUAAACCUGGGGGCUAUAUGUAAGUGGUGUGGAGUAUCUUAUGUGGCUGAUUCACAUAAAAAUGGUAUUAGCAAUCUUAAAAGUCACUUGUUGAGUCAGUGUAGAAAAUUUUUAAAAGAUUCACUUGAUCACACACAAAAAACACUUGUUA